rnacentral:lncRNA from 1 species
GAGAAUUCAUAAACUAAAUUGAUAACAAUAAAUAAACCAACAAGAGAAAUAGAUAAACUAAAGUGCUAGGACUAAUAAGAGUAUAAGAAAACUAAAUUAACAUUAAGUAGAAAUCUGAAUUGAAGAAGAAAUAGAACUAAAAAACCUAAACCUAGAGAGAGGAGAGAGCCUCUCUCCCUAGAAACUACAUCUAAAAUCUAAUAUGUAAACAAUGAGAUGUGUGUCUAUGAUUCCCCCACUCUGCAGCCUCUAAACAGUAUUUUCGGGUUUGGAACUGGAACAAAAGGAGCCCAGAAAUCGACCUAACGCUUUCUGCAGAUUGCAGCACGUGACGCUUUGUCACGCGUACGCGUCGCUUGGCAAAAAUCCUGGUCACGCGUAUGCGUGGCUCACGUGUACGCGUCGUUCGUCUUCUGCACCAGUCACGCGUACGCGUCGCUGCCAGCUUCUCAAAACAACACUUUCUUGCGUUCCUUCCAUUUUUGUAUGCUUUCUUUCCGGCCUCUAAGCCUUUCCUACCAUAUAAACUCUGAAAAUACUCAGCAAACAUAUCACGGCAUCGAAUGGUAAUAAGAGGGGAUUAAAAUUAGUAAAUUUAAGGUCAAAGAAGCAUGUUUUCAAUCAAAGCACAAAAUUAGGAAGGAAAAUGUAAAAUAUGCGAAUUAUAUGAAUAAGUGUGAGAAUAAUUGAUAAGAUCCGCUCAAUUCAAUACUAAAUAAACUGUAAAAUAGCUGUUUAUCAGCUGGGGAGGGAAAAAAAUGUAGGGACUUAUAUGGUUAAUUGUAUUUGAAUCAUGUAACUGCCAUCUUCAUUUUUGUUACAGCUUCUAAUGAUGUUUUAUUAACAAGUUCAUGUCAAUGCGGCUCUCAUGGGAUUUCUAGCUGAGAUAAUUCAAGCAAAAGCAAAUUGAGAGAUCUCCUCUAUGACUCAAAAUACGUGCUCCGCUAUGAAGACAAGGAUGGUGAUUGGAUGCUAGUUGGUAAAAAAAAUAUUAAAUCAUAAUGUUAAUAAUAUGAAUAUCAUUAUUUAUCUUAUUAUUAUCAUCGUUGUUACGAAUUUUAUUAUUUGUAUUGUUAUUAAUAUUUAUGAUUAAUGUUAAUAUUAUAACUACUAGUAUUAAGUGUGCCUAAGUAUUAUUAUUGUUGAGAGUAUAGUUGGUAGUGCUAGUAGUUGUAAUUGGAUCAGCGUUUCAUUCAAGAAACCUUUUGUUACAAAAAAUCACUAGGCCCAUUUAUAAAAAAGUUUUACGUACAUUGUUCUAAGAUUAUUUGGCACACAUAAUGUCCAGCCCAAUAUAAUAUGAAUGUGCUCAACUGAUAGCUAAUGGCACCACUUCUAAUUAAUUUAAUCUAGCUCUCUUAAUUUCAAAAAUCACAUCACCAUUCACUGACUCCUACUGACAUUUGUAUAGCUGCCAUUCAAUAAGUCACAGAAGUUGUCCCUUUAAAUGGACACUUGUCAAUCAUAUGCUCCUCCAAUACAAGUCUAUAUGUGUAGAUUUAUUCCUGCAUCUAUACCGAAGAAUUGGCAUGUUAUCGGUAUUGAUUACUGAAAACAAUGUCAUAUUGCACAAACAUUUGACUACCCAAGUGGCUUAAAUAAUCAAGUAGUAACAGCAACAAUUAUUCACAAAUUAAUUAAUAAUUAUUCAACCCUCACAGAUUAUUCAACAAUAUUUAUUCAUAAAUUAUUGUUAUAAAAAAUUAAAAAAUACCUAGAACCUAGAAGCAUAAAACAGAGCAGAGCAGAUCCAAGAGGAGUAGCGCUGGCCGGUGGAGUAGAGCAGGAGGCGAGUCUGGCAACUGUGCUUUACUGCAACCCACAACAAAAUUCAACUAAUAACAGUAGCAAAAUUCAACCAUUAUUCAACAAAACAGCAGUAAAACUCAUAGAAUAAUUAACAAUUAUUCAACCCAUAACAAGUUUACAGAUUAUUCAACAAUUAUUGUUUAAAAAAACCUAGAAGCUAGAAGCAUAAAAGUAUAAAACAAAAGGGAAAUUGGUGAACAGAACUGACCGGUGCAACCGAGCUGACGUCGGGGAUGGUGGAACAAAGGUGUACGAUAGAGGCAGGAGGCGAGUCCAGUGAUGGUCCUUCCAGAGCUGAAACGGCGAUGAUGGUGGAGAGCUGUACGAUCGUGACUGUAAUCUUUGAGGCUCCAGCUUGCGACGGCGGCGGGAGCAGUCCAGCAGCUGGAUGGAAGUGACGGAGACAACUCGUCGGCGGUGAGAGGAUGGACGAGCUCGAGGGUGAGGGAGGGAGAGGGAGAGUUGCGCCGUUGUGUCUUGUGUGGAGCAAGGGUUAGUGGAGUGGGUUACUGAGUUGGGGACUUAGGGUUGCUGGGUUAGAUGGAAAGGACCAAACAGCUGCGUUUUGGUCAAAUUCCAAAAACUGGCCAAAUUACGGUUCGAUUCAACUGACCAAUUUCCAACCGAUUUUACGGUUUGACAUCAGUUUUUUUUAUCUUAUGGUUUUACCAUUAGUCUGAAUCGAAAUUUCUAUGGUUCACGGUUCGAACCGGUUUUCAGAACCUUACAUUAAUCAGAACAAUUGUUAUUGAGCGCAGUUACGAGAAUAACAUUAAGCGGCAGGGGAUUAAUAUCGUAUGCUAAAACAACAAUCGGUAGUAGAAAAUCAGGUCACAGUGAAACCGACAACACCAUAUGUAUAAUUAGGGUUUAAGGUCUCCUCCACCGCACCCUGCGAGAGAGCAAGCAAUUAAACACACUCAGUGAGAGAGAGAAUCAAGAAGCAGGAAAAGAUCAAUGGCGUCAAGGGGUGUGUCUCUGAAGGCAAGGUUAUCACCCACUACGGAUUCAUCCCUUUCGUCAUCAUCAUUGGCAUGAACUCCGAACCAAAACCCCAACUCUCUCAGCUUCUCAGCCCUGUUUGAUUCUUCAUCUCAGCGAAUUGAAUCGAAUCAACCAGACCUUUCUCUUCUUUUUCUUUUAGUUGAUUUUUAAUUUUUCUAAUAUUUAUAACUUUCUGAAUAAGUGGAUCAGAUUAUGUAGCUUUUCUUAUUUGGAAUAUUUUCGGAGACGCAUUAGAAGAGCUAUUUUGUUAUUAUGUUUGCUAUAAUAAUAUUCACAUGUUGUGUAUGCUUGUGAUUGUUCGGUUUUUGCAUUUUCUUUCGAAGUCACUUGCUGUUGUUGUUCUUUGAGUUAAGGCUUCGUAUUUGUGUGUGUGAGAAUAUGUGAUAAUGUUGAAUGCUGUUGCAUCUAAUAGGAGAUCUUGGAGUACCCUCAUCUUUGGUCCUCUUAAAGAUUUUAGGAUCAUCAGUUUGAUCUUCCAAAGAUUAUUACACUUGGAACUAAUCUGAAGCUUGUGUGGUGAUCAAGAAUUAUCAUUUCAAACUUUAUUUAGG